UCAUGUGUAAGUUAAUAGUAUGGGUGCCUGU
rnacentral:piRNA from 1 species